rnacentral:rRNA from 1 species
UUAAGCGACUAAGCGUACACGGUGGAUGCCCUGGCAGUCAGAGGCGAUGAAGGACGUGCUAAUCUGCGAAAAGCGUCGGUAAGGUGAUAUGAACCGUUAUAACCGGCGAUGUCCGAAUGGGGAAACCCAGUGCAAUUCGUUGCACUAUCGUUAACUGAAUACAUAGGUUAACGAGGCGAACCGGGGGAACUGAAACAUCUAAGUACCCCGAGGAAAAGAAAUCAACCGAGAUUCCCCCAGUAGCGGCGAGCGAACGGGGAGCAGCCCAGAGUCUGAAUCAGCUUGUGUGUUAGUGGAACGGUCUGGAAAGUCCGACGGUACAGGGUGAUAGUCCCGUACACCAAAAUGCACAGGCUGUGAACUCGAAGAGUAGGGCGGGACACGUGGUAUCCUGUCUGAAUAUGGGGGGACCAUCCUCCAAGGCUAAAUACUCCUGACUGACCGAUAGUGAACCAGUACCGUGAGGGAAAGGCGAAAAGAACCCCGGCGAGGGGAGUGAAAAAGAACCUGAAACCGUGUACGUACAAGCAGUGGGAGCACCUUCGGGUGUGACUGCGUACCUUUUGUAUAAUGGGUCAGCGACUUAUAUUCUGUAGCAAGGUUAACCGUAUAGGGGAGCCGCAGGGAAACCGAGUCUUAACUGGGCGUUAAGUUGCAGGGUAUAGACCCGAAACCCGGUGAUCUAGCCAUGGGCAGGUUGAAGGUUGGGUAACACUAACUGGAGGACCGAACCGACUAAUGUUGAAAAAUUAGCGGAUGACUUGUGGCUGGGGGUGAAAGGCCAAUCAAACCGGGAGAUAGCUGGUUCUCCCCGAAAGCUAUUUAGGUAGCGCCUCGUGAACUCAUCUUCGGGGGUAGAGCACUGUUUCGGCUAGGGGGUCAUCCCGACUUACCAACCCGAUGCAAACUACGAAUACCGAAGAAUGUUAUCACGGGAGACACACGGCGGGUGCUAACGUCCGUCGUGAAGAGGGAAACAACCCAGACCGCCAGCUAAGGUCCCAAAGUCAUGGUUAAGUGGGAAACGAUGUGGGAAGGCACAGACAGCCAGGAUGUUGGCUUAGAAGCAGCCAUCAUUUAAAGAAAGCGUAAUAGCUCACUGGUCGAGUCGGCCUGCGCGGAAGAUGUAACGGGGCUAAACCAUGCACCGAAGCUGCGGCAGCGACACUAUGUGUUGUUGGGUAGGGGAGCGUUCUGUAAGCCUGCGAAGGUGACCUGCGAGGGUUGCUGGAGGUAUCAGAAGUGCGAAUGCUGACAUAAGUAACGAUAAAGCGGGUGAAAAGCCCGCUCGCCGGAAGACCAAGGGUUCCUGUCCAACGUUAAUCGGGGCAGGGUGAGUCGACCCCUAAGGCGAGGCCGAAAGGCGUAGUCGAUGGGAAACAGGUUAAUAUUCCUGUACUUGGUGUUACUGCGAAGGGGGGACGGAGAAGGCUAUGUUAGCCGGGCGACGGUUGUCCCGGUUUAAGCAUGUAGGCUGAUUGUCCAGGCAAAUCCGGAUAAUCAAGGCUGAGGUGUGAUGACGAGGCACUACGGUGCUGAAGUAACAAAUGCCCUGCUUCCAGGAAAAGCCUCUAAGCAUCAGGUAACAUCAAAUCGUACCCCAAACCGACACAGGUGGUCAGGUAGAGAAUACCAAGGCGCUUGAGAGAACUCGGGUGAAGGAACUAGGCAAAAUGGUGCCGUAACUUCGGGAGAAGGCACGCUGGUGUGUAGGUGAAGUCCCUGCGGAUGGAGCUGAGACCAGUCGAAGAUACCAGCUGGCUGCAACUGUUUAUUAAAAACACAGCACUGUGCAAACACGAAAGUGGACGUAUACGGUGUGACGCCUGCCCGGUGCCGGAAGGUUAAUUGAUGGGGUUAUCCGUAAGGAGAAGCUCUUGAUCGAAGCCCCGGUAAACGGCGGCCGUAACUAUAACGGUCCUAAGGUAGCGAAAUUCCUUGUCGGGUAAGUUCCGACCUGCACGAAUGGCGUAAUGAUGGCCAGGCUGUCUCCACCCGAGACUCAGUGAAAUUGAACUCGCUGUGAAGAUGCAGUGUACCCGCGGCAAGACGGAAAGACCCCGUGAACCUUUACUAUAGCUUGACACUGAACAUUGAGCCUUGAUGUGUAGGAUAGGUGGGAGGCUUUGAAGCGUGGACGCCAGUCUGCGUGGAGCCAACCUUGAAAUACCACCCUUUAAUGUUUGAUGUUCUAACGUUGGCCCCUGACCGGGGUUGCGGACAGUGUCUGGUGGGUAGUUUGACUGGGGCGGUCUCCUCCCAAAGCGUAACGGAGGAGCACGAAGGUUAGCUAAUCCUGGUCGGACAUCAGGAGGUUAGUGCAAUGGCAUAAGCUAGCUUGACUGCGAGCGUGACGGCGCGAGCAGGUGCGAAAGCAGGUCAUAGUGAUCCGGUGGUUCUGAAUGGAAGGGCCAUCGCUCAACGGAUAAAAGGUACUCCGGGGAUAACAGGCUGAUACCGCCCAAGAGUUCAUAUCGACGGCGGUGUUUGGCACCUCGAUGUCGGCUCAUCACAUCCUGGGGCUGAAGUAGGUCCCAAGGGUAUGGCUGUUCGCCAUUUAAAGUGGUACGCGAGCUGGGUUUAGAACGUCGUGAGACAGUUCGGUCCCUAUCUGCCGUGGGCGCUGGAGAAUUGAGGGGGGCUGCUCCUAGUACGAGAGGACCGGAGUGGACGCAUCACUGGUGUUCGGGUUGUCAUGCCAAUGGCACUGCCCGGUAGCUAAAUGCGGAAGAGAUAAGUGCUGAAAGCAUCUAAGCACGAAACUUGCCCCGAGAUGAGUUCUCCCUGAGACUUUAAGUCUCCUGAAGGAACGUUGAAGACGACGACGUUGAUAGGCCGGGUGUGUAAGCGCAGCGAUGCGUUGAGCUAACCGGUACUAAUGAACCGUGAGGCUUAACCUU